CAAUCGAGGAAUUAUAGUCUCUAAAUUAUUAAGAUCUGAUUUUUUUUAAAAAGUGUUAUAAUAUCUAGCUGUGAUGCAGUAAAACUAUAUUUAUGUCCAAUGGUUCCGGGCCCAGUGGGUCCGGCCCUGCCCUUGGUAGAGACCAGGAUCAGUACAAAAUUGUUUCUCAAUAUCCUGGUUACUACCAGGGUUCAAGAUUACCAGGUGUAUCAGACCUCUCCGGGUACCCGGGGAGUAUACCAGGGUUCCGCCCUGGACCUAGAACCUCCGCCAAAUUUCCGCCAGCUUUAUACAGAAAUCCGAAUGCACCGGAUUGGCAGACAACUAAAUGCAAGGUGACCGAGCGGGGUAAACAUCUACUAGAAACCGGUUUAUGGUCGGACUGUGAGUUUAUCGUAGGACUACCUCCUAAUUUCAAGAUAUUCCAUGUGCACAAGAUGUUCCUGGCCAUGUCCUCCCCUGUGUUUGAAGCAAUGUUCUACGGAGGUUUGGCGGAGACUAAACGAGAGAUUAAAAUCUCUGAUGUUCAACCUGAUGCUUUCUCUUGUAUGCUCGAGUAUAUAUAUACUGAUGAAGUAAACCUUGCCAGUUUUGAGCUUGUUUGUGAUAUCUGCUAUGCUGCUAAGAAGUAUAUGCUCCCUGAGCUUGUUGAAGAAUGUACUAAAUUUCUCUGGAGAGAUCUCUACCCUAGGAAUGCCUGCCGUAUUUAUGAAUUUGCCAAACUUUUUGAAGAGCCCAUCCUAUUAGAGAAAAGUUUACAGAUUAUAACAAAUCAAACUAUUGAGAUAAUAAAUGAACCCUCCUGGGAGGAUGUAGAACAAUCAACUUUACAGAUUUUUCUGUCCCGAGAUACUUUAUCUGCCCCUGAAGUUUUACUAUUUGAUGCUAUAGAUAGAUGGUCAACUAAAGAGUGUGAAAGACGAGGUGUAGAAGUCUCACCGGAGAAGAAAAGAUUCGUUCUGGGAGAAGCACUGUUUCUAAUUAGGUACCUGACACUAACUGCUGCUGAGUUUGCUGCCGGUCCAGCAAGAUCUGGACUUCUUACACAACAGGAAAGUUUUGCUAUUCUAAUGAAUAUUUCUUGUCCUGGUUCCUGGGAUUUACCUAAACAUAUGAACUCAAUAACAGAGGUAAGGAAGGGUCCAAGUGUACAAGCAGCCUCUGAUCUAGAUCUAGGAACUAAACUCUGGUGUAAACGAGCAAUGAUGCAGGAGCCUCAUUGCUUGAACACUUCUAUACUGGAUUGUAGUGUCACCUUCACAGUGGAUAGAGAUGUUUGGAUCCAUGGAAUAGAAGUACCAAGUCAGGUGACUGAUAUACCUGAAGGAGUACCCCUGGAAGGAGUAGAACUCCUACAAGGGGAAGGAUAUAAUGAACUACUAUACUCCCAUCUACUAGAUGGGGAGGGAACUCGACUCACAUACACACACUUCACUGCUAAGGUGAAUUGGAACUCUAUGAUUGAGAUCUGCUUUAAUAGAUCUGUAAAGAUACAAGCCAACAGGGUUUACAGGAUAGGCAUGGUGCUUAAUAAGGUUGGUUGGUAUCCUAUGGGUGUUUGUACCCGACGCGUAAACUGUGAUGGUAGUUUCUUCACCUUCUGUGUCGGUCAACCCAAUGACACGCAACGGGAUGGCCUUAUUAGGUCGAUAAUAUUCUCAAGAUAGCAUAUAAGUGAAAUCUAUGGUCUGGAGCAGAGAUAGAGACUAUUCUGAAUUAUCUUCAGUUGUCAGAAUUUAACACUUCAAGCUAGAAAACGAGAUUUCUUCCACAUCAUCGAACAGAUUAUGGUUUAAAAGGUUCCGCUGUGGAUCUGAAAUGCUUCUUAUGAAAUGAAGGGUAA
rnacentral:misc_RNA from 1 species